rnacentral:rRNA from 1 species
UGCCAGCAGCCGCGGUAAUACGGAGGGUGCGAGCGUUAAUCGGAAUUACUGGGCGUAAAGCGCGCGUAGGCGGUUAGUUAAGUCAGCUGUGAAAGCCCCGGGCUCAACCUGGGAACUGCAGUUGAUACUGGCCAACUAGAGUGCAAGAGAGGGAGGUAGAAUUCCACGUGUAGCGGUGAAAUGCGUAGAUAUGUGGAGGAAUACCGGUGGCGAAGGCGGCCUCCUGGCUUGACACUGACGCUGAGGUGCGAAAGCGUGGGGAGCAAACAGGAUUAGAUA